rnacentral:rRNA from 1 species
AAACGACUGCUAAUACCGCAUACGAUCCAAUCUCGGCAUCGAGGAUGGAUGAAAGGUGGCCUCUAUUUAUAAGCUAUCACUGAAGGAGGGGAUUGCGUCUGAUUAGCUAGUUGGAGGGGUAACGGCCCACCAAGGCGAUGAUCAGUAGCCGGUCUGAGAGGAUGAACGGCCACAUUGGGACUGAGACACGGCCCAG